rnacentral:lncRNA from 1 species
CUUCUUGAAUUAACCUAAGGAAGAUUCCACCUACACUUGGUUAGAAAACUAUCAUUUGUGGUAUCAACUUAGAAAACUUCUUGAAAACUAUCUUAAUUGGCUCUGAUCUGUGCUCACUAAUCUGAUUCCAAUAUUAUUGCCUUAAGUUAUAUGAUUCAUAUCCUUGCAAUAAUUUAACAUUCCAAUCAGAGUACAAUAAGGGAAAGAAAUAUUUGAGUGUUCUUAUCUUUGUGGUAUCUGUGCUUAAUGUUUCCCUAUCUUUU